AAGCCUGCAUGUCUAAGUAUAAGCACUUUAUACUGUGAAACUGCGAAUGGCUCAUUAAAUCAGUUAUCGUUUAUUUGAUAGUACCUUACUACAUGGAUACCUGUGGUAAUUCUAGAGCUAAUACAUGCUAAAAACCUCGACUUCGGAAGGGGUGUAUUUAUUAGAUAAAAAACCAAUGCCCUUCGGGGCUCCUUGGUGAUUCAUAAUAACUUAACGAAUCGCAUGGCCUUGCGCCGGCGAUGGUUCAUUCAAAUUUCUGCCCUAUCAACUUUCGAUGGUAGGAUAGUGGCCUACCAUGGUGGCAACGGGUAACGGGGAAUUAGGGUUCGAUUCCGGAGAGGGAGCCUGAGAAACGGCUACCACAUCCAAGGAAGGCAGCAGGCGCGCAAAUUACCCAAUCCCGACACGGGGAGGUAGUGACAAUAAAUACUGAUACGGGGCUCUUUUGGGUCUCGUAAUUGGAAUGAGUACAAUCUAAAUCCCUUAACGAGGAACAAUUGGAGGGCAAGUCUGGUGCCAGCAGCCGCGGUAAUUCCAGCUCCAAUAGCGUAUAUUAAAGUUGUUGCAGUUAAAAAGCUCGUAGUUGAACCUUGGGUCUGGCUGGCCGGUCCGCCUCACCGCGAGUACUGGUCCGGCUGGACCUUUCCUUCUGGGGAACCUCAUGGCCUUCACUGGCUGUGGGGGGAACCAGGACUUUUACUGUGAAAAAAUUAGAGUGUUCAAAGCAGGCCUUUGCUCGAAUACAUUAGCAUGGAAUAAUAGAAUAGGACGUGCGGUUCUAUUUUGUUGGUUUCUAGGACCGCCGUAAUGAUUAAUAGGGAUAGUCGGGGGCGUCAGUAUUCAGCUGUCAGAGGUGAAAUUCUUGGAUUUGCUGAAGACUAACUACUGCGAAAGCAUUCGCCAAGGAUGUUUUCAUUAAUCAGGGAACGAAAGUUAGGGGAUCGAAGACGAUCAGAUACCGUCGUAGUCUUAACCAUAAACUAUGCCGACUAGGGAUCGGGCGGUGUUUCUAUGAUGACCCGCUCGGCACCUUACGAGA
rnacentral:rRNA from 1 species